AUUUGCUGCAAUGAUCCCGGUUUAAAAUAUGGAAAGAUGCCUUGUUCAGGUCAAUGGGAGACAUCUAUUCAUCUUGAUUAUUCCUGGUAGAGAGUUUACCUUGGAAUCAUUUGGAAGAGGAAUGAUCCUGUCUACUCAGUUAUGCAGUGAGUGCAGAAGGUGACCUUCAAGCAGAAAAAGACAUUGAAGAGUGGACAGGGGGAAGAGAGACAUUGAUCAAAAGUGUCCACAGAGCUGAGAAGAGGGCGUUGGCUCAAAUGGAACUGGAAUGACCGAUGGCUGUGAGCUGUUACACGAUUGCUGGGAACUGAACUUGUGUGAGAGCAGCCAGUAGUCUUAUUCAUGAAGCCAUCUCUUCAGCCCUACAAUUAACUUUUAAAUAA